GAAUGUAUGGAGCAUGGUUAAAGCUACUUAGACUAAUUGAUCCAGACUGUGGGUUUGACCCUCAAUGAGCUGGCACAGUUGAACAUAUCUCUCAGUUUUUCUUGGCAAAAGUUCGCUUGAGCUUAUGAACAUUUUUGCGGCAUUCAAGAGCUUGCGAACUGGUGAACAUAAUAGUAUUUCCCAUUAUUACUGCAAUAAUGGUGGAGAGAGAAAGGAUGCUGGAGUGGUAAAGGAUAGAAAGAAGGAGAGGCGGGAAA
rnacentral:misc_RNA from 1 species